rnacentral:rRNA from 1 species
AUGUCCUCCCCAACCCCGCCCAGAUGGGGGCCGACGAGGGCUUCCUCCUCCGCGAGUGGCGCCGCGCCGGGGAUCAGCACCUCGCCGUCGGAGGAGAACAUGUGUUACUUCAAUGUCAUGGCCCUUGGCCCCGCGCAGUCGCCCUACGAAGGACAAGGUGGUGAACCCGCUGUUCCUGAAGAGGCCGAAGUAGUUCGGCAUCGGUGGCGCCCUGCCGCCCAAGAAGGGCCUCCACCGGUUCGUCAAGUGGCCCAAGGUCAUGCGCAUCCAGCGCCGCAUCCUCAAGCAGCGCCUCAAGGUGCCCCCGGUGCUCCACCAGUUCACCCACACCCUCGACAAGAACCUCGUUGGGUGCACAGGAGCUCUAGGAAGAAGAAUCCCGAAGAAAAACCACACCGAGCAAUGCGUUUUAGCUCACUGGAGCUAGUUAUGUGUAUAUUUAGUUUUAUUUUAUAG